CCUACGGGAGGCAGCAGUGAGGAAUAUUGGUCAAUGGACGCAAGUCUGAACCAGCCAUUCCGCGUGCAGGAAGACGGCUCUAUGAGUUGUAAACUGCUUUUGUACGAGGGUAAACGCAGAUACGCGUAUCUGUCUGAAAGUAUCGUACGAAUAAGGAUCGGCUAACUCCGUGCCAGCAGCCGCGGUAAUACGGAGGAUUCAAGCGUUAUCCGGAUUUAUUGGGUUUAAAGGGUGCGUAGGCGGUCGGAUAAGUUAGAGGUGAAAUCCCGAGGCUCAACUUCGGAAUGGCCUCUGAGAGUGUUAGGCUAGAGAGUAGUUGCGGUAGGCGGAAUGUAUGGUGUAGCGGUGAAAUGCUUAGAGAUCAGACAGAACACCGAUUGCGAAGGCAGCUUACCAAGCUACUUCUGACGUUGAGGCACGAAAGCGUGGGGAGCAAACAGGAUUAGAUACCCGAGUAGUC
rnacentral:rRNA from 1 species